rnacentral:sRNA from 1 species
GAGCUGACAGAGAUGGACCAUCGAAAAGCCAGGGUCCUCCCAGCUGGGCACUACUGCCCCUCGCUAGGAAUAUGGUCCUCGCAUGUCGGCAGCGUGAGGUCCUCUGUGCCACCUUCCAUCAGGUAGCUGUCACCGAGGAGCAUGUUGUUGCAGUGCCGGGUGGGGGCUGCCUUGCAUGCAAGGAGCCUGGCAGUAGCGGAGGGCAAGGCUUUGAGUGAGGCGGCCCCGACAGCCAUAGCUGAGGAGCAUGGAGCCACUGGGAGGGGGCAGUGUCACCUUUUUUGGCCUUCUUCUUCUGUGGAAAUACAGCGCCUCCGGCUUGAACCUGCCACUCAGGUGUCUUGAUGUGCCGGGGGUGUGGCUGCCUGCCCCCUGAUGCUCCCUGCCCCACCCCGUGCAGCAGGAACCCAGCCAUGGUGAACGAAGCCAGAGGAAACAGCAGCCUCAACCCCUGCUUGGAGGGCAGUGCCAGCAGUGGCAGUGAGAGCUCCAAAGACAGUUCGAGAUGUUCCACCCCGGGCCUGGACCCCGAGCGGCAUGAGAGACUCCGAGAGAAGAUGAGGCGGCGAUUGGAAUCUGGUGACAAGUGGUUCUCCCUGGAAUUCUUCCCUCCUCGAACUGCUGAGGGAGCUGUCAAUCUCAUCUCAAGGUUUGACCGGAUGGCAGCAGGCGGCCCCCUCUACAUAGAUGUGACCUGGCACCCAGCAGGUGACCCUGGCUCAGACAAGGAGACCUCCUCCAUGAUGAUCGCCAGCACCGCCGUGAACUACUGUGGCCUGGAGACCAUCCUGCACAUGACCUGCUGCCGUCAGCGCCUGGAGGAGAUCACGGGCCAUCUGCACAAAGCUAAGCAGCUGGGCCUGAAGAACAUCAUGGCGCUGCGGGGAGGUGUGGAGCCAGCACUCCCCUACACUCUGGGUUCUGGCUUUCCCAGAGGCCGCUUGGUAGCCUGAACUUGGUUCCUGAAAUGGUCCUUUACUUCUUCCUGGGCCCCAUGCUGAGGAUCCGCAGGAUCCCAUCCCUGCCAGUAGUGUCAGUAGGCAUUGUGGUUAGUGAGUCAUCCUGGGCACCACACACAGGCAGCCACCUCUUCCACCUCUUGACCUCGACGUAGGAGUUCCGUCGGGAAUGGAGUCGCGGCCUGAUAACCCUCUGCCUUGCCUACACCACUGCAUCGAUUGCUGGCUGCACCCGGCACUUGGCCCAAUCACAGAGUAACAGAGUAUCUGGGAGUGAGAAUAGCCGGUUAGGCCUCUGGUGCCUGCUGUUGUCAGGCCACCCAAGAGUGGGAAGAGGGAGCCUGAUGGGUAGGAUCCUAUGGCCUCAUGCUCCCCACCACAAGACCCCUUCACUUGAGAUGAGUAGAAAAUUCUCCCAGGAGGCAGGAGCCCCAAGGCCGUGGGAUGGGAGAGGGUGGCAAGCGUGCCCAGGUAGAAGUAGGGAAGGGAUCUCCAAUCCUGCAGGCACAGUGAGGAGCAGCGGUGGUCUCCUAUUCUCCACCGCCAGCACAGGGUCAGGAUGCAGUGAAUAUUGAACUGGUGGGCCGCUUUUUUCCCUCCUGCUGUCUUACCAAGUGCUAGAAAGUGAAGAACCAAACCUAAAUAAUAUGAAGUUUCUGCCUUCCAGGGACUCGCAGUCCUGGGUGUCGGGGCUAGGUAGAGGGAACAGAAAGGGUCUCUGGAGGUUGGGUGAGACCCAGUGACCAUGACCUCCACCAACCCUGCAGACCCCAUAGGUGACCAGUGGGAAGAGGAGGAGGGAGGCUUCAACUACGCGGUGGACCUGGUGAAGCACAUCCGAAGUGAGUUUGGUGACUACUUUGACAUCUGUGUGGCAGGUGAGUGGCUGGAUCAUCCUGGUGGCGGGGAUGGAGCUAGGGAGGCUGAGAUGCCCAGAGAGCCUGUCGGUGUUCGGUUCAGGACACAGUGAUCAGAUGCACCCAUGGGUCCGUGCUGGAUGAGGGACAUGCAGAGGUGAACUGCACCGUGUCCUUGCUCCUUUUGUAUCACCCACUCCCCUCCUGGGCCUGCCACCAUCGACCCCUAGCUUUUUGUUCUUCUGCCUGGCUGUGCCCUUAGCCUAUUUGGCCCUAUUCUUUCUUUAAAACAAAAGGGGUCUGGGCGUGGUGGCUCACGCCUGUAAUCCCAACACUUUGGGAGGCCGAGGCAGGCAGAUCACCUGAGGUCAGGAGUUCAAGACCAGCCUGGCCAACAUGGCGAAACCCCGUCUCUACUAAAAAUACAAAAAUUAGCCG